UUGUCCUUUUUAUAAAUUUUCUUCUUAAAAAUCUUAUUAUGGUAAGGAUAAUGUAUUUGUUCCCUUCAGGUGUCUGCCACUGCAGUUGAUGUUGAGACAACUCUCAGUCUUCCUGCAAGUCCUCGCCUGAUACCUGUUUUAAGGGCAUCACACCAACAUUUGCAAUUGGACUUGCUGCUAUGUUUGCAACCUACUACAUUUUCAGCCUUCAGUAUCAAGAUGAGACAGCCUGCCCUGUGGAAUUCAAAAUUAAUGUGUUUGCGCUUCAUUGAUAUAAAUCCAGAGAGAGGGACAAAUGCCAAAAUCAUCAAGCAAGGUUGUCUCUAAGAAGAAAGGUGUGAUGGUCCAGAAGUCGUCUUCUGCAGUCAAAUACACAUGUGGCCAUGCUACUGAAGAAU